AAUGACUUAUUUGACAACCACCUUUCAAAACUGCCUGCACAUCUCACCAUGGCCCUCAGGAUGACGCUGGCUCCUGUGCAUCCUGCGCCGGGCAUGGUGCCUCACGUGAGGUCAUUUCCACGGCCACGUGUGUCCUCCUGCCGCUUCACAGACGGUGACUUCCACCUCCAUGUCCUCAGACUCCACUCUCCACAGAGCCCUGACUGUCAUUAACUCCCUGACUUAGAAUAUUUCAUCCGUAUUUGUGUAUGAAGGGUCCUUUAUGUUGAAUGUUAUUUAAGCCCUAGGUUUAAUUUUUGUUUUUGUGCAGGAUAGAAAACAGAUGAACACAUACGUUAUCAGAUGGUCUCUCUGUACAAAUAAUGCACGGCCCAGAUGCUUAUGGUCUGGAAUCAUUAGCAUAACAUAUGCUGCUGCUCAGAAACGGCAAGUGCGGCGCAAUUCUGAAACAGCUCCUGCCUUAGCAGGUACAUCCUGGUCUAUGCUCAGGUCUGAUUUUGGCAGAUACACAAGUACCUUCUUGCCAAAGGCUGUGUCCCCAUGUCACUGCUUGUGCCUGGCCCAGAGCAGAGGCUCCGAGUGGUGGCACCACUUCUGUCAUUGUCGGGACCAUGGCUGCCCCUCCUCCCCCUCCUGCUAAACCAACAAGGGCUGUUGACUGAGGGCCCCCGAGGGCCACUGAGUGCACCCCACAGUGGCAGGCACCCUGCAACCAAGUGUCCCUGAGUCCACCCCACCAUGGCAGACACCCUGCAGCUGAGAGGCCCUGAGUGCACCUCACUGUGGCAGGCACCCUGCAGCCAAGUGGCCCUGAGUCCACCUCACCGUGGCAGGCACCCUGCAGCCAAGUGGCCCUGAGUCCACCCCACCGUGGCAGGCACCCUGCAGCUGAGAGGCCCUGAGUGCACCUCACUGUGGCAGGCACCCUGCAGCCAAGCGGCCCUGAGUCCAACCCACCGUGGCAGGCACCCUGCAGCCAAGCGGCACUGAUGAGCCCUUGGAGGUCAGAACUCAGACGCAGAAGCAGACAGUACCUGGAACUGAACCCCUGCAAGCUCCAUGCAGAGAACAGCGUGGCAGCACUCGAGGAGGGAAAGGCUUUGGGGAAGAGGGAGGGAGGCAGAAGGAGCAGCUCAGGGAGCUCAUCAAUGAGGGAGGGUGAGUGGAGCAGAGAUGAAGAGAUGAGAUACACACAGCCAGGGAGGAGGAUGAGAUGGAGAGGGAGAGACAGAGACACAGAAAGACAGAGACAAGCAGACAAGGACAGAGAUAAAAAGACAAAGAGAGACAGAGAUGGGCACACAGAGAAAGAGACAGAGAGACAAGGACAGAGAUGGAGACAAAGCUAGAGACAGACAGGGAGAGAGAUACAGAGAGACAGAGGGAGAGACAUAGAGACAGACGCAGAGACAGAGAGAGGCCGAGAGCGAGAGGAGGAGGGAGAAGAGAUGAUGGGGACAAGGGGAAGCCAAGUCUAAGACAGGAGAGAACCAGUACCAGAACCAGAAGGUGGCUGGGCUUCGAGGGGCCUGGGCCAGUGGCUAGGGGCAUUUCAAGCCUUGCCUGUGCCCCCACACCUGGGCACCCCCCUGUCCACUGCACCCCUGUCCUGUCACCAGACUCGGGGAUGAAGCACUUGUGAAUGGAGAGAGAGGACGCAACUCUGUUCUAACCCGGCAGGUGCUUAGGAUUAAUUCCUGGACAAAUUCAGGAAUUCUCACUCUAGCUGCCCAGAGCCACGGGUGUGACAAUUUCCACAAACUUGUAUUCUGUUUUCAAAAGGAGUCUAGAAUCACCCCCAAAUCCCGGACACUGAAAGCCCCUGGCCAGGAAGCAGUGUAGACCUUUGUUUUUCAAGGAGAUUUUGUUACAGAGAGACAACCCUGCCCCUUGAGUGGCCACUGAGUGCUUGGACCUGCCAGCGUUGUGUGGGUUUGCAUCUGUGUCCAGCAUCUCGUGGGUUUGCACCUGUGCCCGGACCUGCCAGUGUUGCGUGGGUUUGCACCUGUGCCCAGACCUGCUGGCAUCGCGUGGGUUUGCACGUGUCCAGCAUCAUGUAGGUUUGUACCUGUGCCCAGACCUGGCAUUGCGUGGGUUCGCACCUGUGUCCAGCGUUGUGUAGCUUUGCACCUGUACCCGGACCUGCCGGUGACACAUAGGUUUGCACCUGUGUCCAGCAUCGUGUAGGUUUGCACCUGUGUCCAGCGUCAUGUAGGUUUGCACCUGUGUCCAGCGUAGUGUAGGUUUGCACCUGUGCCCGGACCUGCUGGCGUUGCAUGGGUUUGCACCUGUGUCCAGCAUCGUGUAGGUUUGCACCUGUGCCUGGACCUGCCAGCGUUGCAUGGGUUUGCCCCUGUGCCUGGACCUUCUGGCGUUGUGUAGGUUUGCACCUGUACCCAGCGUCACGUGGGUUUGCACCUGUGCCUGGACCUGCCGGCGUCGCAUGGGUUUGCACCUGUGCCUGGACCUGCCAGCGUUGCGUGGGUUUGCCCCUGUGCCUGGACCUUCUGGCGUUGUGUAGGUUUGCACCUGUACCCAGCGUCGCGUGGGUUUGCACCUGUGCCUGGACCUGCCGGCGUCGCGUGGGUUCGCACCUGUGUUUAGUCCACCAUCUAUGGAUGUUGAAGAUCCCAGGGACGGCCAAGUUUCAAUUCUGUAGGUGCUAAUUUACUUCAUUUUUCUGGGGCACCAGAGAGUAAAUUUAGAAACCCAAUGCUAUCUUAGGGCACCAAGAGAAUUUCAGUUGAGGUGAAAAUUACUGCUUUUUCCUCAUCAUGAAUAGAUGAAAACAUUGUAAAGGAAGAAUACAUUUUCUUUUGAAGAAUGAGCUAUUUGUCGACAAUGGGCUGUUCCCUUUGAUGCAGAAACCACGGCUUUGGUCCACUGUCAUUAGGCUGACCCUGUGGCUCCCCAGCCAGGAGUGCCCAGAGCCAGGAAGGAAAGGGCACCAUUUUCCCCAGCUCUCCCACGAUUUCCAUGAGAAGGUGGAACCAUUGUUGUUAGGGCUGGGGUUUCAUCUGCCUGGAGUCCAGAAGCCGGUCUGUGUAGAUCCCGGGGAGCAGAGCUGUAGGGGCCUGCAGGGGCGGGGGCAGGUGCGGCGGGGGUCUCCCGUUUUCUCCUGGGCCCUGUGUCCCCUGAUGUCACCCCCCUGACCUCCAGCCCCUUGGGUUUUGUGGACGGGCCAGGGCCCAGCACUCGGGCUUAGGAUGGGUAAACAGUUGUCCUGUUAUCUGUUGGGCAUAUGGCAGGUGCCUGUCCCAUGCAGGCACUGCCUGCCCCAUGGGCAUCUGUCUGUGCUAGAACCCCUGGGUGGCUGCGUUUUGAAGAGGAUUUUACGGGGGCUGGCUGUGCGCACCCUCUCCCUUCUCUCCGUUCUCUCCCCAGAUCGUGCUGUGGUUGUAGGGAGCCCAGGACCCCAUGGGCACAAAAGCCUCCAUGCAAGCAUCAGAGGUGAUGCCCCGGGUCCUGCUCAGGCCUUCGGCUUCCUGGCCCUCCCCACUCAGCCUCCUUCCUGCACAUCCUGGGGACCAACCUUUGCAUCUCCUGCCUGGCUCCACCACAAAACGUCCUUACAGAGGGUCUCAGGGCCACAGCCUCGUUGGGAGUUGGGGGUGGCACCCGGAGACCACAUUUGCACCAAAUGCGCUGUUUUCACUCCAGCUGCAGAUGACAGAGGAACAGGACGACCAGAGUGUCCAAGGGUGUUCUGGGUCCCUCAACCCAGACUUCCUGUGACCACAUUGUUGUUAGUUUAUCAGGCUUGUGGGGAAUUCAUGGCUCUUUUAGGGAAACUCAUGCUGUCCCCACACCUGUGACCCCUAUUUUCCAAACCAAAGUUACAGAAAUGUCCUGCAUUGGGGAUGGCGCUUUCAGGGCGUCAGACCAAUGUGGGGGAGGUCUAGGGGCUUCAGAUCAACGUUGGGGAGGUCUUAGGGCCUCAGAUCCACGUUGGGGAGGCCUCAGGGCCUCAAAUCCACGUUGGGGAGGCCUCAGGGCAUCAGAGCAACGUGGGGGAGGCCUCGGGGCCUCAGAGCAACGUGGGGGAGGUCUCAGGGUGUCACCAACGUGGGGGUGUCACCAACGUGGGGGAGGUCUCGGGGUCAGAUCGAGGACGGAGAGGUCUUGGGACAUUAGACCAAGGUUGGGGGAAGUCUCAGGGCAUCAGACUAACCUGGGGGAGGUCUUGGGGCAUCAGACUGAGGUUGGGGGAGGUCUUAGGGUAUCAGACUGAGGUCAAGGAGGUCUCGGGGCAUCAGACCGAGGUUGGGGGAGGUCUCGGGGCAUCAGGCCAAGGUAGGGGGAGGUCUCAACGCGUCAGACCAAGGUUGGGGGAGGUCUUGGGCAGAGCAGCUCAGGAGCUUGGGGCGUGGCAGCGACUGGAGGUGCUGGGAGGGAGGCGGGUGCCCAUUCUGCAGCUUCCUGCUCCUCUGCACAGAGCUCAGCCGAGGCCUCUCAUCCCGAGACCUCCACAUGGAGGCUUUGAAAACUCCAUCCAAGAAGACAAUAUCUCGGGAUGGUAGGGGAAAGGUGUUCCACCCAGCUGACCUCAAGGCCUUUGGCUGUCCCUGGACAUUAGUCAGGUUUUUGUGGAAAGCCCAGUGGGGAGGGAGGCCCUGGCUUCUCGUUAGCCUAUGGCCACCCCGACUGGCC
rnacentral:lncRNA from 1 species